UACAGAGGGUGCGAGCGUUAAUCGGAAUUACUGGGCGUAAAGCGCACGUAGGUGGCGACGUAAGUCGGGUGUGAAAGCCCCGGGCUCAACCUGGGAACUGCGAUGGAUACUGAGAAGCUGGAGUACGGUAGAGGAAGGUGGAAUUCCCGGUGUAGCGGUGAAAUGCGUAGAGAUCGGGAGGAACACCAGUGGCGAAGGCGGCCUUCUGGACCAGUACUGACGCUGAGGCACGAAAGCGUGGGGAGCAAACAGG
rnacentral:rRNA from 1 species